rnacentral:rRNA from 1 species
GUGGGGAAUUUUGGACAAUGGGCGCAAGCCUGAUCCAGCAAUGCCGCGUGCAGGAAGAAGGCCUUCGGGUUGUAAACUGCUUUUGUACGGAACGAAACGGCUCUGGUUAAUACCCGGGGCUAAUGACGGUACCGUAAGAAUAAGCACCGGCUAACUACGUGCCAGCAGCCGCGGUAAUACGUAGGGUGCAAGCGUUAAUCGGAAUUACUGGGCGUAAAGCGUGCGCAGGCAGUUUUGUAAGACAGGCGUGAAAUCCCCGGGCUCAACCUGGGAAUGGCGCUUGUGACUGCAAAGCUGGAGUGCGGCAGAGGGGGAUGGAAUUCCGCGUGUAGCAGUGAAAUGCGUAGAUAUUGGAAGGAACACCAGUGGCGUAAGCGGCUAUCUGGACGAGUAUUGACGCUGAGGCACGAAAGCGUGGGGAUCAAACAGGAUUAGAAACCCUUGUAGUCC